UGCAAAAUUUGGAUUACAAUUCAAUGUCAGAAAGCCAAUUCAGGAGCCAAGCGCCGAAUCCCCACAGUGGGGCGAGACCCACUCCCCGGCGCCGCUCGUGGGGGGCCCAAGUCCUUCUGAUCAAGGCCCAGCCUGGGGACAGUGUGAGGCCGGUAGUGGCGGCAGGCCCCGCCCCCCCCCCGCCUGCGCCGCCGGGCCAGGGUCUUCCGGGAGUCGGAUUGCUUGGGAAUGCAGCCCAAAGCGGGUGGUAAACUCCACCUAAGGCUAAAUACCGGCACGAGACCGAUAGUCAACAAGUACCGUAAGGGAAAUUUGAAAAGAACUUUGAAGAGAGAGUUCAAGAGGGCGUGAAACCGUUAAGAGGUAAACGGGUGGGGUCCAUGCAGUCGCCAGGAGGAUUCAACCCUGCAGCAGGUCCAGCCAUGCUGGGGGCCCGGCGGAUCUUUCCUGCCCCCGGUCCUCCUGAGCCCUCCACCCGCCCUCCCUCCCCCGAAUAUUAAUCUUUCAAAAAAAAAAAAAAAAAAAAAGAAAGCCAAUUCAGAAGCACAAUUAUAAAGCUACUGGUGGGUCUAGAAAAAAGCAUAAAGGAUUCAAGAGAAUUCAUGACUGCAGAAUUUAGAUCUAAUCAGGCAAAAAUUAAAAAU
rnacentral:ncRNA from 1 species